rnacentral:misc_RNA from 1 species
ACUCUUCAACCCACCGGUUCCUUGUUGGAUCGAGUUGGUGUUUGGAUCUUGAGCGUUGCUGGCUUUACUAGUGUUCUUCGAAUACUGAAUAAGCGUAGCUCGUUCGUAAUACAUUAGCAUCUCAAUUACGAAACUCGGAUUGACUCAGCGUUAUAGACUAUUCGCUGAGGACAUGAGCAAUCAUGGCCGAAUUAAGUUAACUAGAAGCUUCUAAUCCCCCACUAGUCAAAACUAUAAGAU